ACAGUCUGGGGAAAGGCUCCUGUGUUGCUGAACCUACUCAGCGGUGAGUGCGGCCCAAACCAGGCAGCCCAACCUGACCCACAGUAAAUCCCCAAGAGAGUGUUGCCUGGGUUUUGAAUUCGCAGUUACAGGUGUGAACAUUAUAGCAGCAGUUUGAUGAUCAUGUAUGAUACUGCAAACAAGA